ACUUUUCUCUUCUCAAUAUUUCAAGAUACAUAACAACGGAUGGCGUAAGGUGUUCGCUACAAAAGGUUGCCCUUUGCCUGCUGUUUCAUUGGUCGAUUAUCGAUGGGCGCUAAAAUGGCGCUAACACAUGUUUGUUGUUGUUGUUGAGCAAAAACAUUGCAGGCUCGAAGGCUAUAAUUCAGUGUUGAGUGAAUUUAUUGAACAUAUUGUUUGUAUCACCCAUUGGUAUCUGACUGAUAUCACCCAUCAGUCCAUCACUACUUACACCAACUCGAAAGGAUAACGAAGUCAGAAUCUAUAUUUGUGCUAUUUGAUGUUACUCUGUAGUUAAGUGAAACUUGGCUUUCAAAUUUAAUCAAAACGUUAUGUGGUUUUAUUCACGUUUUUUCCCAUUUAUUUGCAACUUUCUGGUGAAAUAUCAAGAUACAUAAGCUCACCGACGAACAACUUUCUGAUGAUUUCGUUUCUCAAAUGAAUUCCUGAAUUUUCAUCCGACGAAAUCGUAAGAUCAACGAAGUCACGAGCAUGUACUUUAUGAAAAAGAUUAGCGGUAAGUGGAUCAACAUUAGAAUUGAGGCAAUUGGAACCUUUUCUUUCAGGACAUAUCCAGGCAUAGUCAUGUGUAAUUUUUGCCACUAGAGUCCAUCCACCACCUGCUGUAGUCAUAUCGCAGUAAGCUAAGAAUGAAUUAUGUAAAUCGUCUUCUUCCUGAGGGUUUAUCCAGAACAAUCCAUCAUUUUUACCCAAACCUUUCAACUUUGCAUCAAGACAUGACGAUGGUAACUUUGCUUCCUUUUUGUUUAAUUUCCAACCCAUUUCACGCCACUCGUUGUUGUAACAUAAUAAUAAUUUACCAUUUUUAACAUCAUAAUGAAACUUUCCUUGUUUUCUCCUCGUACAUUCCAUUGAAUGAGUUGCAAUUUUACCAAAAAAUUCCUGAAAUAGAAACAAAACAUAUGUUUGUAUUAUGUUUGCAUUUUUUGUUCUAUAGACGUGAUGAAUUUGAAUUUUUUUUGCAAAUGCUGAGUGUUACAUAGCAUUUAAUUAAAGGUUACUUUAAAUCAAA